rnacentral:pre_miRNA from 1 species
AAUGAAAUUUCUGGGUCAUAUGAUAAUGUAUAUUUAAUAUUUUAGAAAUUGUUAAUCUGUUUUCCAUGGUGACUGUGCCAGUUUCCAAUCCCAGCAGCAGU